rnacentral:rRNA from 1 species
UACGUAGGGGGCAAGCGUGGUCCGGAUUUAUUGGGCGUAACGAGCGUGUAGGCGGCCAAGCAGGUCCGCUGUGAAAACUCGAGGCUCAACCUCGAGACGUCGGUGGAAACCGUUUGGCUAGAGUCCGGAAGAGGAGAGUGGAAUUCCCGGUGUAGCGGUGAAAUGCGCAGAUAUCGGGAAGAACACCCGUGGCGAAGGCGGCUCUCUGGGACGGUACUGACGCUGAGACGCGAAAGCGUGGGGAGCGAACAGG